rnacentral:rRNA from 1 species
AUACGGAGGGUGCAAGCGUUAUCGGGAAUCAUUGGGUUUAAAGGGUCCGUAGGCGGACUAUUAAGUCAGAGGUGAAAUCCCACAGCUCAACUGUGGAACUGCCUUUGAUACUGGUAGUCUUGAGUUAUAUGGAAGUAGAUAGAAUGUGUAGUGUAGCGGUGAAAUGCAUAGAUAUUACACAGAAUACCGAUUGCGAAGGCAGUCUACUACGUAUAUACUGACGCUAAGGGACGAAAGCGUGGGGAGCGAACAGGAUUAGAAACCCUAGUAGUCC